rnacentral:rRNA from 1 species
CCUACGGGAGGCAGCAGUGGGGAAUAUUGGACAAUGGGCGAAAGCCUGAUCCAGCCAUGCCGCGUGUGUGAAGAAGGCCUUCGGGUUGUAAAGCACUUUCAGUGGGGAAGAAAGCCUUGGGGCUAAUACCCUCGAGGAAGGACAUCACCCACAGAAGAAGCACCGGCUAACUCCGUGCCAGCAGCCGCGGUAAUACGGAGGGUGCGAGCGUUAAUCGGAAUUACUGGGCGUAAAGCGCGCGUAGGCGGUCUGAUAAGCCGGUUGUGAAAGCCCCGGGCUCAACCUGGGAACGGCAUCCGGAACUGUCAGGCUAGAGUGCAGGAGAGGAAGGUAGAAUUCCCGGGGUAGCGGUGAAAUGCGUAGAGAUCGGGAGGAAUACCAGUGGCGAAGGCGGCCUUCUGGACUGACACUGACGCUGAGGUGCGAAAGCGUGGGUAGCAAACAGGAUUAGAUACCCCGGUAGUC